rnacentral:rRNA from 1 species
AUACGUAGGGUGCAAGCGUUAAUCGGAAUUACUGGGCGUAAAGCGUGCGCAGGCGGUUGUGCAAGACAGAUGUGAAAUCCCCGGGCUUAACCUGGGAACUGCAUUUGUGACUGCACGGCUAGAGUGUGUCAGAGGGGGGUAGAAUUCCACGUGUAGCAGUGAAAUGCGUAGAUAUGUGGAGGAAUACCGAUGGCGAAGGCAGCCCCCUGGGAUGACACUGACGCUCAUGCACGAAAGCGUGGGGAGCAAACAGGAUUAGAUACCCUGGUAGUCCACGCCCUAAACGAUGUCAACUAGUUGUCGGGUCUUAAUUGACUUGGUAACGCAGCUAACGCGUGAAGUUGACCGCCUGGGGAGUACGGUCGCAAGAUUAAAACUCAAAUGAAUUGACGGGG